AGCGAACGCUGGCGGCAGGCUUAACACAUGCAAGUCGAGCGGGCAUCUUCGGGUGUCAGCGGCGGACGGGUGAGUAACGCGUGGGAACGUGCCUUCUGGUUCGGAAUAACUCAGGGAAACUUGAGCUAAUACCGGAUACGCCCUUUUGGGGAAAGGUUUACUGCCGGAAGAUCGGCCCGCGUCUGAUUAGCUAGUUGGUGGGGUAACGGCCUACCAAGGCGACGAUCAGUAGCUGGUCUGAGAGGAUGAUCAGCCACACUGGGACUGAGACACGGCCCAGACUCCUACGGGAGGCAGCAGUGGGGAAUAUUGGACAAUGGGCGCAAGCCUGAUCCAGCCAUGCCGCGUGAGUGAUGAAGGCCUUAGGGUUGUAAAGCUCUUUUAUCCGGGACGAUAAUGACGGUACCGGAGGAAUAAGCCCCGGCUAACUUCGUGCCAGCCGCCGCCGCAG
rnacentral:rRNA from 1 species